rnacentral:rRNA from 1 species
GACAGAGGGUGCAAACGUUGUUCGGAAUUACUGGGCGUAAAGCGAGUGUAGGCGGUUUGAUAAGUCGGAUGUGAAAGCCCGGGCUCAACCCGGAAGUGCACUCGAUACUGUCAAGCUAGAGUAUCGGAGAGGUUGGUGGAAUUCUCGGUGUAGAGGUGAAAUUCGUAGAUAUUCGGAAGAACACCAGUGGCGAAGGCGGCUCACUGGCCCGGUACUGACGCUGAGGUGCGAAAGCGUGGGAGCAACAGG